rnacentral:lncRNA from 1 species
GCAUGGGAGAUGUGUAUGUAUUAAUAGAGGAGGUUGAGGAGAAUAGGUGGUAGGAAAGGGACAAGAAAAAUGGCAAGUAAUGUUGUUGACUGGGGGGUGGCAUGGGAUGCGAUAGGUUUGAUGCAUAUGAUGGUAAGUUCGAUUAGUUGGUUGGCUACCGAUUUUUCGCAUCGGAUCCUAUCUCGUUUUUGGUGUUUCAUUUGAUGUUCGAUUUUUAAUUAUUUUUUUUUAUAUAGUUUUGGUUCUUUUUAAUUUUUUAUAUUUUAGUAUGAUUUUAAGAUAGUUAAUUAAACUUUAUUAUUUUAAUUAAAAUUUAUAAUUAUUCGCUUAUAUU